AAGACGGAAAGACCCCGUGAACCUUUACUAUAGCUUGACACUGAACAUUGAGCCUUGAUGUGUAGGAUAGGUGGGAGGCUUUGAAGCGUGGACGCCAGUCUGCGUGGAGCCGACCUUGAAAUACCACCCUUUAAUGUUUGAUGUUCUAACGUGGACCCGUAAUCCGGGUUGCGGACAGUGUCUGGUGGGUAGUUUGACUGGGGCGGUCUCCUCCUAAAGAGUAACGGAGGAGCACGAAGGUUGGCUAAUCCUGGUCGGACAUCAGGAGGUUAGUGCAAUGGCAUAAGCCAGCUUGACUGCGAGCGUGACGGCGCGAGCAGGUGCGAAAGCAGGUCAUAGUGAUCCGGUGGUUCUGAAUGGAAGGGCCAUCGCUCAACGGAUAAAAGGUACUCCGGGGAUAACAGGCUGAUACCGCCCAAGAGUUCAUAUCGACGGCGGUGUUUGGCACCUCGAUGUCGGCUCAUCACAUCCUGGGGCUGAAGUAGGUCCCAAGGGUAUGGCUGUUCGCCAUUUAAAGUGGUACGCGAGCUGGGUUUAGAACGUCGUGAGACAGUUCGGUCCCUAUCUGCCGUGGGCGCUGGAGAACUGAGGGGGGCUGCUCCUAGUACGAGAGGACCGGAGUGGACGCAUCACUGGUGUUCGGGUUGUCAUGCCAAUGGCACUGCCCGGUAGCUAAAUGCGGAAGAGAUAAGUGCUGAAAGCAUCUAAGCACGAAACUUGCCCCGA
rnacentral:rRNA from 1 species